GUGGAUGUAGCUCAAUGGUAAAGUAUCUGCCUGUCCUGCACAAGGCUCUGGGUUUGAUCCCCAGCACUCCCC
rfam:Ictidomys tridecemlineatus contig026672, whole genome shotgun sequence.